rnacentral:rRNA from 1 species
GUACGUAGGGGGCAAGCGUUGUCCGGAUUUAUUGGGCGUAAAGAGCGUGUAGGCGGCCAGACAGGUCCGUUGUGAAACUGGAGGCUCAACCUCCAGACGUCGAUGGAAACCGUCUGGCUAGAGUCCGGAAGAGGAGAGUGGAAUUCCGUGGAUGUAGCGGUGAAAUGACGCAGAUAUCAGGAAGAACACCCGUGGCGAAAGCGGCUCUCUGGGACGGUACUGACGCUGAGACGCGAAAGCGUGGGGAGCGAACAGG